AGCUCCAAUGGCCUAGUGGUUAGAGCAUCUGCCUCAGAUGCGGGAGGUUGUGGUUUCGAUCCCUGGUCGAGUCA